AGGUAAUAGAAUUAUGGAGACUGCUUAGAAUAAACCAAAUGCAGUGAGGAGGCACAUGGUUUUCCUGUCUAAACAGCAUACAUGGUAUUUCCUCAACUGAAGAAAUGAACGAAACCCAGUCAAGGGAUCACUCCUUGUCAAGAUGAACACAAGUAUAUGUGGUAUCCUAUUUGAAGAUCGAGUAUAAGCCACAUCUCGCUGUACAACUGGAAAGAAUGCAGGCUACAAUAUGAAUGAAACCCAGACAAGGGAUCAUUCCUUGGUAAGGUGAACAGUACAAGUUCUAUCCUAUUUGAAGAUGGAAUAUAAGCUCCAUCUCGCUGUACAACUUGAAAAAAUGCAAUGUGCAGUAGCAAUUAUGUAUGAAUGGUAGUCAAAUUGAAUGAGACCAAGAAGCCAAUUUAAAGCUUAUUGGAAGUUAGCAUGCUAAAAUGGGAAGGGGGCCCAUUUUAUACCAAAAAUAAUUGCGACGAUGCUCGGCUGAUUCUUUUGUUGGUUACCAUUUCAAUUUUCAACUGCAGUUUUUUCCCUUGA
rnacentral:sRNA from 1 species